UCCCGAUGAGGAAGGAAACCCUAAUUGAUAGGAAGUGCCGUAUGACACUUUAAACAGCAGCUGUGAC